UACGGGGGGGGCAAGCGUUGUUCGGAAUUACUGGGCGUAAAGGGCGUGUAGGUGGCCAACUAAGUCCGACGUGAAAUCCCCAGGCUUAACCUGGGAACUGCGUCGGAUACUGGAUGGCUUGAAUUCGGGAGAGGGAUGCAGAAUUCCAGGUGUAGCGGUGAAAUGCGUAGAUAUCUGGAGGAACACCGGUGGCGAAGGCGGCAUCCUGGACCGGUAUUGACGCUGAGGCGCGAAAGCUAGGGGAGCAAACGGG
rnacentral:rRNA from 1 species